GACGAACGCUGGCGGCGUGCUUAACACAUGCAAGUCGAACGGAAAGGCCCUGCUUUUGUGGGGUGCUCGAGUGGCGAACGGGUGAGUAACACGUGAGUAACCUGCCCUUGACUUUGGGAUAACUUCAGGAAACUGGGGCUAAUACCGGAUAGGAGCUCCUGCUGCAUGGUGGGGGUUGGAAAGUUUCGGCGGUUGGGGAUGGACUCGCGGCUUAUCAGCUUGUUGGUGGGGUAGUGGCUUACCAAGGCUUUGACGGGUAGUCGGCCUGAGAGGGUGACCGGCCACAUGGGGACUGAGAGACGGCCCAGACUCCUACGGGAGGCAGCAGGGGGGAAUAUUGCACAAUGGGCGGAAGCGUGAUGCAGCAACGCCGCGUGCGGGAUGACGGCCUUCGGGUUGUAAACCGCUUUCGCCUGUGACGAAGCGUGAGUGACGGUAAUGGGUAAAGAAGCACCGGCUAACUACGUG
rnacentral:rRNA from 1 species